CGUGCUUAGGAUGUUGACAUAAUGGCUUUAAGCGACCCGUCCUGAAACACGGACCAAGGAGUCUAACAUGCUCGCGAGUGUUCGGGUGGAAAACCCUUGCGCGUAAUGAAAGUGAAAGUUGGGACCUCCGCGAGGAGGGCACCGACGCCCGGCCCUGAAGUUCUCUGACGGUGCUGCGGUAGAGCGCGUAUGUUGGGACCCGAAAGAUGGUGAACUAUGCCUGAAUAGGGCGAAGCCAGAGGAAACUCUGGUGGAGGCUCGUAGCGAUUCUGACGUGCAAAUCGAUCGUCAAAUUUGGGUAUAGGGG
rnacentral:rRNA from 1 species